rnacentral:rRNA from 1 species
GAUGAACGCUGGCGGCGUGCCUAAUACAUGCCAGUCGAGCGAACAGACGAGAGUUCUUGCACUCUCUGACGUUAGCGGCGUACGGGUGAGUAACACGUGGGUAACCUACCUAUAAGACUGGUAUAACUUCGGGAAACCGGAGCUAAUACCGGAUAAUAUUUAUCUUCGCAUGAAGCAAUAGUGAAAGACGGUUCUGCUGUCACUUAUAGAUGGACCCGCGGUGUAUUAGCUAGUUGGUGAGGUAACGGCUCACCAAGGCAACGAUACAUAGCCGACCUGAGAGGGUGAUCGGACACACUGGGACUGAGACACGGACCAGACUCCUACGGGAGGCAGCAGUAGGGAAUCUUCCGCAAUGGACGAAAGUCUGACGGAGCAAUGCCGCGUGAGUGAAGAAGGUUUUCGGAUCGUAAAACUCUGUUGUAAGGGAAGAACAAGUACGUUAGUAACUGAACGUACCUUGACGGUACCUUACCAGAAAGCAACGGCUAACUACGUG